UUUAAAUUUAGAGUUUGAUCCUGGCUCAGGACGAACGCUGGCGGCGUGCUUAACACAUGCAAGUCGAGCGAUGAAGCUUUCUUCGGGAAGUGGAUUAGCGGCGGACGGGUGAGUAACACGUGGGUAACCUGCCUCAAAGUGGGGGAUAGCCUUCCGAAAGGAAGAUUAAUACCGCAUAAUAUAAGAUAAUCGCAUGAUUUUCUUAUCAAAGAUUUAUUGCUUUGAGAUGGACCCGCGGCGCAUUAGCUAGUUGGUAAGGUAAUGGCUUACCAAGGCAACGAUGCGUAGCCGACCUGAGAGGGUGAUCGGCCACA
rnacentral:rRNA from 1 species